GUCAAAUAACUAAAGGCUUACGGUGGAUACCUAGGCAUUCAGAGACGAAGAAGGGCGUGGAAACCGACGAAACGCUUCGAGGAGCUGGAAACAAGCUUUGAUUCGAAGAUUCCCGAAUAGGGCAACCUUUUCAACUACCUAUUGAAUUCAUAGAUAGGAAAGAGAUAACCCAGUGAAUUGAAACAUCUUAGUAGCUGGAGGAAAAAAAAGCAAAAGCGAUUCCCUUAGUAGCGGCGAGCGGACGGGGAACAGCCUAAACCGAUUCGAAAACCGGAUCGGGGUCGUGGGAAGAAUUCAUAAAAAAGUAUGAGCUGAGACGAAGCAGUUGAAUCCUGUACCAUAGAUGGUGAAAGUCCCGUAGUCGAAAGCAUAAUAUUUUUUUUUCUUAUCCCGAGUAGCAUGGGACACGUGAAAUCCCGUGUGAAUCAGCGAGGACCACCUCGUAAGGCUAAAUACUCCUGAAUGACCGAUAGUGAAGCAGUACCGUGAGGGAAAGGUGAAAAAGAACCCCUGUAGGGGAGUGAAAAAGAACAUGAAACCGUAAGCUAUCAAACAGUGGGAGGGAUGAAAUCCUGACCGCGUGCCUGUUGAAGAAUGAGCCGGCGACUUAUAGGAAGUGGCUUGGUUAAGAAAAAAAUUCGAAGCCAUAGCAAAAGCGAGUCUGAAUAGGGCGAAAUAGUCACUUCUUAUGGACCCGAACCCGGGUGAUCUAACCACGACCAGGAUGAAGCUUGGGUAAAACCAAGUGGAAGUCCGAACCGACCGAUGUUGAAAAAUCGGCGGAUGAGUUAUGGUUAGGGGUGAAAUGCCAAUCGAACUCGGAGCUAGCUGGUUCUCCCCGAAAUGCGUUGAGGCGCAGCGGUUGACGAAUUAUGGGCUGCCUAGGGGUAAAGCACUGUUUCGGUGCGGGCUGCGAGAGCGGUACCAAAUCGUAGCAAACUAAGAAUACUAGGCAUUGCUUUCCGUCAGCCAGUGAGACGGUGGGGGAUAAGCUUCAUCGUCGAGAGGGAAACAGCCCAGAUCACCAGUUAAGGCCCCAAAAUGACCGCUAAGUGGCAAAGGAUGUGAGAAUGCUAAGACAACCAGGAGGUUUGCUUAGAAGCAGCCAUCCUUUAAAGAGUGCGUAAUAGCUCACUGGUAAAGCGUUCUUGCGCCGAAAAUUUACGGGACUAAGCGGUCUGCCGAAGCUGUGAGAUUUUUUUAUUAAAUAAAAAAAUCGGUAGGGGAGCGUUCCGCUCUAGGGUGAAGUAAUAACGAAAGUUUUUAUGGACAAAGCGGAAGUGAGAAUGUCGGCUUGAGUAACGCAAACAUUGGUGAGAAUCCAAUGCCCCGAAAACCUAAGGGUUCCUCUACUAGGUUCGUCCAUGGAGGGUGAGUCAGGACCUAAGGCAAGGCCGAAAGGCGUAGUCGAUGGAGAACAGGUUAAUAUUCCUGUACUGAUUUUUAAUUGGUACCGAGGGACGAAGAAGGUCUAGGUUGACCAAUAUUGGAUUUUGGUGGAAAAGCUCAAAGUUGUAAAAGAUAGAAUAAAAACUAUUCUUGAUAUUUUUAAAUAUCCAGCUAAGACUUGAUACGGUUUUAUUCCCUGGGCUGUUUCAUAACGGAACAGUCUAUAGUAAAACUCAACCGCGGAUCAAACUUCCUAGAAAAGCUCGAACUACUAUUAAAGUUAAGAAUCACCUGUACCCGAAACCGACACAGGUAGGUGGGUAGAGUAUACCUAGGGGCGCGAGAUAACUCUCUCUAAGGAACUCGGCAAAAUGGCCCCGUAACUUCGGGAGAAGGGGUGCCCCCAAAUAUUGGGGGCCGCAGUGACCAGGCCCAGGCGACUGUUUACCAAAAACACAGGUCUCCGCUAAGUCGUAAGACAAGAUAUGGGGGCUGACGCCUGCCCAGUGCCGGAAGGUGAAGGAAGUUGGUUAUUCUUCGGAAAAAGCUGACAACCGAAGCCCCGGUGAACGGCGGCCGUAACUCUGACGGUCCUAAGGUAGCGAAAUUCCUUGUCGGGUAAGUUCCGACCCGCACGAAAGGCGUAACGAUCUGGGCGCUGUCUCGGAGAGAGACUCGGUGAAAUAGACAUGUCCGUGAAGAUGCGGACUCCUUACACCUGGACAGAAAGACCCUAUGAAGCUUUACUGUAGCCUGGAAUUGGGUUUGGGCUUUUCUUGCGCAGUCUAAGUGGGAGGCGUUGAAAAUUUUCUUCCGGGAAAAUUGGAGCCAUCAGUGAGAGACCACUCUGGAAGAGCUAGAAUUCUAAUAGCGUUCCUUGAAUCAGGACGCUUGACAGUUUCAGGUGGGCAGUUUGACUGGGGCGGUCGCCUCCUAAAAGGUAACGGAGGUGUGCAAAGGUUCCCUCAGGCUGGACGGAAAUCAGCCUAAGAGUGUAAAGGCAGAAGGGAGCUUGACUGCAAGACCUACAAGUCGAGCAGGGGCGAAAGCCGGCCUUAGUGAUCCGACGGUACCGAGUGGAAGGGCCGUCGCUCAACGGAUAAAAGUUACUCUAGGGAUAACAGGCUGAUCUUCCCCAAGAGUUCACAUCGACGGGAAGGUUUGGCACCUCGAUGUCGGCUCAUCGCAACCUGGGGCGGUAGUACGUCCCAAGGGUUGGGCUGUUCGCCCAUGAAAGCGGUACGUGAGCUGGGUUCAGAACGUCGUGAGACAGUUUGGUCCAUAUCCGGUGUAAGCGUUAGAGUAUUGAGAGGAGCCUUCCAUAGUACGAGAGGACCUGGAAGGACGCACCUCUGGUGUACCAGUUCUCGUGCCAACGGGAUACGCUGGGUAGCCAUGUGCGGAAGGGAUAACUGCUGAAAGCAUCUAAGUAGGAAGCCCACCUCAAGAUGAGUACUCUCUAGAGGUCACAGCAAGAAAAGCUGUUUGAUAGGUGUCAAGUGUAAAGCCAGUAAUGGUUGUAGCUGAGACACACUAACAGACCCAUUGAGUUUGAC
rnacentral:rRNA from 1 species